rnacentral:rRNA from 1 species
CCUACGGGAGGCAGCAGCCGCGGUAAUAGCUCCUACGGGAGGCAGCAGUGAGGAAUAUUGGUCAAUGGGCGAGAGCCUGAACCAGCCAAGUAGCGUGCAGGAUGACGGCCCUAUGGGUUGUAAACUGCUUUUAUACAGGGAUAAAGUCGGGGACGUGUUCCCCGUUUGCAGGUACUGUAUGAAUAAGGACUGGCUAAUACCGUGCCAGCAGCCGCGGUAAUA